UUUUGGGAAACGAAUCCCAUUGUUUUCUUCCUUUUCUAAGCGUAUUACUGAUCCUGUAUAAAUAUCUCAGGCUCUAAAUUUAUUCCAUGUGUUUAUUUCUCCUCGCAGAACGGCAGCAAGAUCUCCAGGAGACCAAGUUUGGUGAGAGACCUGAAAGGCAAACCUGCCAUGUAUUAGGGCAUCUAAAAAUGGAGAAAAUGCUAUUUGAUAUUGCCCAUACAGUACUAGAAGAAGAAAUGUAAGCUCAUUAUGAUUCAUGUAGAUGAGGCAGACACGGAAGAGAACAUUCGGUAUUAUAAAUACGCUAACAAGCUCCACAUAAGAGGAAAAAGGCAUCAGAACUACAUGUCACAAGUGCUUGGCCCAGGAAAGCUGCUGAAUCCUUGGAGGGUGGUGGUUAACACUACCCUGGCGUCAUGAACUGUCUAUUUGUCACCAUUACACUAGCCAGCGUACAGCACCCAGCUGAAUGGUAUCCUUUUAACAUUGAUUGCAUUCCACCUACUGAAAUGAAUUACCGACCAUCUAAGGCGUAGCUAGACCCAAAUGGCGGGGCACUCUUUGCAUACGAUGGAAUCUACAUUGAUGUGAUCGGUGAGGGCCUAUUACUGGGGCGUUUUAUGGCCAGAAGGCACCUGCAAAGGUCCAGCAAGGACCACAAAAGGGGUUCUCGACUACCACCGGGACGCUAAACCAGGUUGAACCAAAGAGCCGUCUAAGUGGCAUCCCUGCCAAAGCAGAACCCGGGAUUGCAGGGAGGUAAAGAACCCGAUGGCCACUCACACCUACCCUAGACCUCCAAAUGGAACACCACACCUUGAAGAACUCUUGUGACUAACAAAACAAGCAAAAGUGAACACAACGACAGAAAAUAAAAAAUUAAAUAACCCCCAAAAAAGCUAUACAAAGAUGGAAAUUAAAGAGGAACUAUGCCUAAAUUGAAAUAAAAGAUGAUUGGAGGGGUUCCGCCUCAUGGAUCCUGCUCUAA